rnacentral:lncRNA from 1 species
AUUAUCACCUUCAUUUAAUUCUUCCAACACCUUCUGAAAAUUAUUUCGAUCACUUACAUUUUCAAUAACUUUUUCCUUGACUCCCUCUAUCGAAUCAUUUCAGUUUCUAGCCUUUCACUUUUUUGAUUCCAUUUCGAUCACCGAUUCUAAUUCUGAUACACUUUCCACGGAUGCCCCCUGCUUUCUUUUCUUCUUCACUGAAUUGUCUUUACUAUUAAAUUCCUUCGACCAUCCUCUUUCCUUGAUUCUAAUUGAAAAUCUGACAUCUCCUACCUCUAAUAAAGAAACCUUAUUAACAUUUGAACUUGCGAAAUUGAAAUCAUCAUCUCAACCUUCUCAAAGUUAUUCGCACCUGACCAAUUUUCAGCCAUCGACACCAGCGUACCCCAUUUUCUAGCUAUCCUUUUAAACAUCUCAUAGUUCCAGCAAUGUAUAGGUAUUUUAGAUACUUCAAUCCAUUCGAAAACAUCAACUUUUUCGACCAAGGUGCAAUAUGUAUAAAGAAUUCCUUCAAGUACGACCAGUCUCUUUGUUUCAAAAUAUCAUAGAGUUCGUCAUCUGGAAUCUCGAUAAGAAAAUGAUUUCCUUGAAUUCUCUUAACACUGAUUUCAUCUAAGCUCAUUCCCACAACUCUGUCAGCUAAAUUCUUCACUUCACAGAAAGAAACCACCUCCCUCACCAGACAUUUCUGUAGCUUCCAUAGUUGUUCAUUCUCAACAUGGCCUUGUACUAAAUUUCCUAUACUCUUAUCCCCUCGGCCCGAACCAUCACUUUCAAAUCUGUUUGGCAUCUCAACAUCAUAUGUUCCUCGACCACUUUUUCUCUUCUCCCAACGACCACUCUUAUCUGGUUUAAUUCAUUUCUAUCCAAUAAUUUUUUAUGUUUAACCACCCUUCUCCAUAUUGAUAUUCUUACUUUAAACCUUGCUAUAUUCACCCAAAUUUUGCUACCAAGAAUCACAAAACCAUUUAGUCUUGUUAUCGCCCGUUUUGCAUCUAAAAAAUUAGAAAAUCUUAUGAAACCGAAUCUCUUUCUGCUCUUGCUUGUUUUCUCUGGAAUAAAUGCAUCUACCACCUUUCUAUGAUAACUGAAUAAUGUCCAUAGCCCUUUCCAAUGCAUAGUCAUUGGAAUAUUGAACACAAACACUGUGAUAUAAGAUCCUCUCAUUUUUAGUCAUUUAAGAAGAAGAUCUUAACCACUUAUUAUAGGACACUAUCGCAUUGAAGUCAAUAUGGUGCUACUUGGCCAUGGUUGCUUUAUGAUUCAAUCACAGAGUAAGCUGAACCCUCUAGUUUCUACAAUGUUAUCGAGUCCAACUGAGCAGUCAUUUCAAGUGUCAAAUAAAUAACUCUGGCUGUCACCUGACACUGAUUACAAAGCUGAACAUAAGAAGGUAAGGUUGGCGGAUAUAUAAUCUCCUGUCUUGAAUUUGCACAUGUUGUCAUGCUUAUAUUACAUACCAUGCAUCAAGAUUUCUAAUAUUAAGGCUUUUUGCUAUUCAAAGAAUUAGCAGUUCCAC